ACGUAUGGUGCAAGCGUUAUCCGGAUUUACUGGGUGUAAAGGGAGCGUAGACGGCUGUGUAAGUCUGAAGUGAAAGCCCGGGGCUCAACCCCGGGACUGCUUUGGAAACUAUGCAGCUAGAGUGUUGGAGAGGUAAGUGGAAUUCCCAGUGUAGCGGUGAAAUGCGUAGAUAUUGGGAGGAACACCAGUGGCGAAGGCGGCUUACUGGACGAUGACUGACGUUGAGGCUCGAAAGCGUGGGGAGCAAACAG
rnacentral:rRNA from 1 species